AAACUGCCCCCAGCUCUGCCACCCCCUCAAGCUCCUACACCGGCUCCCUUCCCUUCAGGACUCGACUUCCACAAGAGUCACACACGCGUGUCCACUUCCUCUUCACCCACGUGCCUGUGAGAGCCUCCUCGCACACACGCCUGCAAUCCCGAGCAGCGGGUCCGCCUGCAGCGCUCUAACGACACGAGCCUUCCACCAGCGAGGACCUGAAGCAGAAAGCAAGUGCCUGUUCCCUGCACUGGUCCUCCUCUGCACCUCGCUCUCUGAAGCGCACACUCUCCUCCUCGAAACUCCACCUUCCAGCGGGUUCGGCGUCAGGGGAAGCUUCUGGCUCUGCCUCUCUGUCCUCGCUGAUUUCUCCUCUAGUUUCUAGGAGUGGGCUAGGCAGGGACAGCCGCAAGAUACCCUAAACCUUCAGGAUGUCCUAACUUGGCAAAUGCCGGAACACCUGCAGAGGUUCGGAGCUUCCUCCUGAGUCGUGUUGGAGGCAGGGGCCCGUCUCCUGUGUUUCAGUCACUGCCACCAGGUAAGCGCUUCGAUAACUUUUGCUAAAGCGUAACUCUCACUUGAUGACCAUUUUCUACAAAGAAGUAAAUCACCUAAAUGAGAAUUACCGCCUCUACCACGAUGAGGAAGAAAAACUCAGGAUGCCGGGCAACUUGGUAGAUUCACGCCGAGCCAGGGGGCUCACUCCCGCAGCAGCCGGCCCGGUCACGCCUCGAAAGAUCUGCGAGCGCCAUGCCGUUAACUCUCAGCCUCUUCAAAACAUACAGACUCCAAGCGCCGCACCAGACACGCGAACGUCAGGGCAUCCUCCCGCUCCAGCAGCGCAGGCUCUCCGCGGCCUUCUCUUUCACCUCGAGGAUGCGACCGUCACUCCCAGGUGGACGGGGCUUCCUCUGGCACCCUGGGCUCUGUCCUCCGAUCCCGACACCAUCACGCCCACACUCUGUCGGGUGCCUCAGACUCAUAUGCCUGACACUAAUCAAUCGUCCCCAGCCCCACCUCCUCCUGCGGUUCUGAGUUGAGUCAAGGACGUGACGGGAACCUCCAAGGUACCAGAACCUAACCUUCAGGAUGAUGCUGUCCUCUGCCCUCCGGCCUGCUCCGAAGCUCCAGGCUCCCUGAGCUCAGGCCAGGCAGUGUGUUCAGUUGGCUGCCCCUGUGGCCUGCAUGUGUUCCUGUACACACACGGCAGGGGCUGGAGCGUGUCUGUGAGUGCGUGAGCUCCCCGUACACACACAGCAGGUGCUGGAGCGUGUCUGUGAGCACGUGAGCACCCUGUACACAUAUGGCACGUGCCAGAGUGCGCCUGUGAGCAUGUGAGCGCCCUGUACACACACGGCAGGUGCUGGAGUGCGUCUGUGAGGGUGUGAGCGCCCUAUACACAUACGACAGGCGCUUGAACAUGUCUGAGCACCCCGUACACACACAGCAGGUGCCAGAGCACGUCUGUGAGCACGUGAGCACCCUGCACACACAUGGCAGGUGCUGGAGUGUGUCUGUGAGCGCGUGAGCACCCUGUACACACAUGGCACGUGCCAGAGUGCGCCUGUGAGCAUGUGAGCGCCCUGUACACACACGGCAGGUGCUGGAGUGCGUCUGUGAGCAUGUGAGCGCCCUGUACAUACAUGACAGGUGCCGGAGCAUGUCUGUGAGCACGUGAGUGCCCUGUACACACACGGCAGGUGCUGGAGCAUGUCUGUGAGCGCCCCUGUACACACACAGCAGGUGCUGGAAUGUGUCUGUGAGUGUGCGAGCACCCUGUACACACAGGGCAGGUGCUGGAGCGUGUCUGUGAGCGCAUGAGUGCCCUGUACACACAUGGCAGAUGCCGGAGCAUGUCUGUGAGCGCCCCGGACACACACAGCAGGUGCUGGAGAGUGUCUGUGAGCGCAUGCGUGGCCCGUACACACACGGCAGAUGCCGGAGCACGUCUGUGAGCGCCCCGUACACACACAGCAGGUGCUGGAGUAUGUCUGUGAACGCGUGAGUGCCGGUACCCGUGGUGAAGGGACACCCUCUCAGCCUCGCUUGGGUCCAGCUUCAGCCCUCAAGGCUUCGAUGUCCAGUACGAGCUGAUCCUAC
rnacentral:lncRNA from 1 species